CCUACGGGAGGCUGCAGUGAGGAAUAUUGGUCAAUGGACGAGAGUCUGAACCAGCCAAGUAGCGUGAAGGAUGACUGCCCUAUGGGUUGUAAACUUCUUUUAUAAAGGAAUAAAACGAGGCACGUGUGCCUUUUUGCAUGUACUUUAUGAAUAAGAAUCGGCUAACUCCGUGCCAGCAGCCGCGGUAAUACGGAGGUUCCGAGCGUUAUCCGGAUUUAUUGGGUUUAAAGGGAGCGUAGAUGGGUUGUUAAGUCAGUUGUGAAAGUUUGCGGCUCAACCGUAACAGUGCAAUUGAUACUGGCAGACUUGAGUACAGGUGAGGUAGGCGGAAUUCGUGGUGUAGCGGUGAAAUGCUUAGAUAUCACGAAGAACCCCAAUUGCGAAGGCAGCUUACUAAACUGUGACUGACAUUGAUGCUCGAAAGUGUGGGUAUCAAACAGGAUUAGAUACCCGUGUAGUC
rnacentral:rRNA from 1 species